ACGUAGGUGGCGAGCGUUAUCCGGAUUUACUGGGUGUAAAGGGCGCGUAGGCGGGAAUGCAAGUCAGAUGUGAAAUCCAGGGGCUUAACCCUUGAACUGCAUUUGAAACUGUAUUUCUUGAGUGUCGGAGAGGUUGACGGAAUUCCUAGUGUAGCGGUGAAAUGCGUAGAUAUUAGGAGGAACACCAGUGGCGAAGGCGGUCAACUGGACGAUAACUGACGCUGAGGCGCGAAAGCGUGGGGAGCAAACAG
rnacentral:rRNA from 1 species